GACGAACGCUGGCGGCGUGCCUAAUACAUGCAAGUAGAACGCUGAAGGAGGAGCUUGCUCUUCUGGAUGAGUUGCGAACGGGUGAGUAACGCGUAGGUAACCUGCCUGGUAGCGGGGGAUAACUAUUGGAAACGAUAGCUAAUACCGCAUAAUAGUAGAUGUUGCAUGACAUUUGCUUAAAAGGUGCAAUUGCAUCACUACCAGAUGGACCUGCGUUGUAUUAGCUAGUUGGUGAGGUAACGGCUCACCAAGGCAACGAUACAUAGCCGACCUGAGAGGGUGAUCGGCCACACUGGGACUGAGACACGGCCCAGACUCCUACGGGAGGCAGCAGUAGGGAAUCUUCGGCAAUGGACGGAAGUCUGACCGAGCAACGCCGCGUGAGUGAAGUAGGUUUUCGGAUCGUAAAGCUCUGUUGUAAGAGAAGAACGAGUGUGAGAGUGGAAAGUUCACACUGAGACG
rnacentral:rRNA from 1 species